CCUACGGGAGUCAGCAGUGGGGGAUAUUGCACAAUGGGGGAAACCCUGAUGCAGCGAUGCCGCGUGUGGGAAGACGGUCCUCUGGAUGGUAAACUACUGUCCCCAGGGACGAAGAUGAAGGUACCUGGGGAGGAAGCUCCGGCUAACUACGUGCCAGCAGCCGCGGUAAUACGUAGGGAGCAAGCGUUGUCCGGAAUUACGGGGGGAAAAGGGAGCGGAGGCGGGAUGGCAAGUGGGGUGGUAAAUCUAACGGCUCAACUGGGAGUCGCACUCAAAACUGCUAGUCUUGAGUGAAGUAGAGGCAGGCGGAAUUCCUAGUGUAGCGGUGAAAUGCGUAGAUAUUAGGAGGAACACCAGUGGCGAAGGCGGCCUGCUGGGCUUUUACUGACGCUGAGGCUCGAAAGUGUGGGGAGCAAACAGGAUUAGAUACCCUAGUAGUC
rnacentral:rRNA from 1 species